GCUGCUUUUAGCCUUUUAUCCAUUAUGGAUUCUUUUAAGAUGGCGUCUUUGAAUCUUAACGGGGCGAGGGUGUUAGGAUUUUAGUUGGUGUGAGUGUUCUUGCAAUAGACGAUCUUCGUGGGAGCGCACCUGAAGCGGAUCUCCUACAAUGGGCGGCAGGAUUUUUGAGGAGCGGUGGUGCAGCCAGACGUCGCUUGAUGGUCCCACUUGUUGAUUGAUGACGUCUCGUUGGGAUUCUGCCAGGAACUGCACCUGUCCUACUGCCAAGCAGACCACAGAUUGACCGGAAACAUCUGCCUGCUGCCUCGGCACCUAAAACCUCGCCGGACCUCCACACCUACAACUCCUUCCACCUCCCUCAGCAACUCUCCUUCCCCGACGAACUCACCGAGCCGACCCUCUGUUUUCCAGCUCAGAGGACAACCCGGACUCACCAUCCUUACAAAACAUCUGUAAAAUAAAUCUUUUGAACUUUAA